GGCAUUAUGGCUCAGUUGGCUAAAACACCUGCUUCAUAAACAGGAGAUCCUGGGUUCAAGUCCCAAUGGUGCCU
rnacentral:tRNA from 1 species